ACCUGGCUGGCUCAGUCGGUAUAGCAUGAGACUCUUAAUCUCAGGGUGGUGGGUUUGAGCCCCACGUCGGGCG
rnacentral:tRNA from 2 species